UGAGGAAUAUUGGUCAAUGGGCGAGAGCCUGAACCAGCCAAGUAGCGUGCAGGAUGACGGCCCUAUGGGUUGUAAACUGCUUUUAUAUGGGAAUAAAGUGAGGGACGUGUCCCUUAUUGCAUGUACCAUACGAAAAAGCCCCGGCUAACUACGUGCCAGCAGCCGCGGUAAUACGUAGGGGGCUAGCGUUGUCCGGAAUCACUGGGCGUAAAGCGCGCGCAGGUGGUUUAGAAAGUCUGAUGUGAAAGCCCACGGCUCAACCGUGGAGGGUCAUUGGAAACUAAUAAACUUGAGUGCAGGAGAGAAAAGUGGAAUUCCUAGUGUAGCGGUGAAAUGCGUAGAGAUUAGGAGGAACACCGGUGGCGAAAGCGGCUCUCUGGUCUGUAACUGACGCUGAGGCUCGAAAGCGUGGGGAGCGAACAGG
rnacentral:rRNA from 1 species